AGUCGAACGAUGAUGCCCAGCUUGCUGGGUGGAUUAGUGGCGAACGGGUGAGUAACACGUGAGUAACCUGCCCCUGACUCUGGGAUAAGCGUUGGAAACGACGUCUAAUACUGGAUAUGAUCACUGGCCGCAUGGUCUGGUGGUGGAAAGAUUUUUUGGUUGGGGAUGGACUCGCGGCCUAUCAGCUUGUUGGUGAGGUAAUGGCUCACCAAGGCGACGACGGGUAGCCGGCCUGAGAGGGUGACCGGCCACACUGGGACUGAGACACGGCCCAGACUCCUACGGGAGGCAGCAGUGGGGAAUAUUGCACAAUGGGCGAAAGCCUGAUGCAGCAACGCCGCGUGAGGGAUGACGGCCUUCGGGUUGUAAACCUCUUUUAGUAGGGAAGAAGCGAAAGUGACGGUACCUGCAGAAAAAGCACCGGCUAACUACGUGCCAGCAGCCGCGGUAAUACGUAGGGUGCAAGCGUUGUCCGGAAUUAUUGGGCGUAAAGAGCUCGUAGGCGGUUUGUCGCGUCUGCUGUGAAAUCCCGAGGCUCAACCUCGGGCUUGCAGUGGGUACGGGCAGACUAGAGUGCGGUAGGGGAGAUUGGAAUUCCUGGUGUAGCGGUGGAAUGCGCAGAUAUCAGGAGGAACACCGAUGGCGAAGGCAGAUCUCUGGGCCGUAACUGACGCUGAGGAGCGAAAGCAUGGGGAGCGAACAGGAUUAGAUACCCUGGUAGUCCAUGCCGUAAACGUUGGGCGCUAGAUGUAGGGACCUUUCCACGGUUUUCUGUGUCGUAGCUAACGCAUUAAGCGCCCCGCCUGGGGAGUACGGCCGCAAGGCUAAAACUCAAAGGAAUUGACGGGGGCCCGCACAAGCGGCGGAGCAUGCGGAUUAAUUCGAUGCAACGCGAAGAACCUUACCAAGGCUUGACAUACACCGGAAACGGCCAGAGAUGGUCGCCCCCUUGUGGUCGGUGUACAGGUGGUGCAUGGUUGUCGUCAGCUCGUGUCGUGAGAUGUUGGGUUAAGUCCCGCAACGAGCGCAACCCUCGUUCUAUGUUGCCAGCGGGUUAUGCCGGGGACUCAUAGGAGACUGCCGGGGUCAACUCGGAGGAAGGUGGGGAUGACGUCAAAUCAUCAUGCCCCUUAUGUCUUGGGCUUCACGCAUGCUACAAUGGCCGGUACAAAGGGCUGCGAUACCGUAAGGUGGAGCGAAUCCCAAAAAGCCGGUCUCAGUUCGGAUUGAGGUCUGCAACUCGACCUCAUGAAGUCGGAGUCGCUAGUAAUCGCAGAUCAGCAACGCUGCGGUGAAUACGUUCCCGGGCCUUGUACACACCGCCCGUCAAGUCAUGAAAGUCGGUAACACCCGAAGCCGGUGGCCUAAC
rnacentral:rRNA from 1 species